rnacentral:rRNA from 1 species
CCUACGGGUGGCUGCAGUGGGGAAUAUUGCACAAUGGGCGCAAGCCUGAUGCAGCCAUGCCGCGUGUGUGAAGAAGGCCUUCGGGUUGUAAAGCACUUUCAGCGGGGAGGAAGGCGGUGAGGUUAAUAACCUCAUCGAUUGACGUUACCCGCAGAAGAAGCACCGGCUAACUCCGUGCCAGCAGCCGCGGUAAUACGGAGGGUGCAAGCGUUAAUCGGAAUUACUGGGCGUAAAGCGCACGCAGGCGGUCUGUCAAGUCGGAUGUGAAAUCCCCGGGCUCAACCUGGGAACUGCAUUCGAAACUGGCAGGCUAGAGUCUUGUAGAGGGGGGUAGAAUUCCAGGUGUAGCGGUGAAAUGCGUAGAGAUCUGGAGGAAUAUCGGUGGCGAAGGCGGCCCCCUGGACAAAGACUGACGCUCAGGUGCGAAAGCGUGGGGAGCAAACAGGAUUAGAUACCCCGGUAGUC